rnacentral:rRNA from 1 species
UACGUAGGUGGCGAGCGUUGUCCGGAUUUACUGGGCGUAAAGGGUGCGUAGGCGGUUUUGUAAGUCUUAUGUGAAAUCUAUGGGCUCAACUCAUAGACUGCAUGAGAAACUGCAGGGCUUGAGUAUGGGAGAGGUGAGUGGAAUUCCUGGUGUAGCGGUGAAAUGCGUAGAUAUCAGGAGGAACACCUGUGGCGAAAGCGGCUCACUGGACCAUAACUGACGCUGAUGCACGAAAGCUAGGGGAGCAAACAGG